UACGAGGGGUGCAAGCGUUGCUCGGAAUUAUUGGGCGUAAAGGGUAGGUAGGUGGUCUGAUUUGUCAGGGGUGAAAGCCUUGGGCUUAACUCAAGAAGUGCCCCUGAAACGGUCAGACUGGAGUCUUGGAGAGGGUCGUGGAAUUCCCGGUGUAGCGGUGAAAUGCGUAGAGAUCGGGAGGAACACCAGAGGCGAAGGCGGCGACCUGGACAAGCACUGACACUCAACUACGAAAGCGUGGGGAGCAAACAGG
rnacentral:rRNA from 1 species